rnacentral:rRNA from 1 species
ACGAACGCUGGCGGCGUGCUUAACACAUGCAAGUCGAACGGAAAGGCCCUGCUUUUGUGGGGUGCUCGAGUGGCGAACGGGUGAGUAACACGUGAGUAACCUGCCCUUGACUUUGGGAUAACUUCAGGAAACUGGGGCUAAUACCGGAUAGGAGCUCCUGCUGCAUGGUGGGGGUUGGAAAGUUUCGGCGGUUGGGGAUGGACUCGCGGCUUAUCAGCUUGUUGGUGGGGUAGUGGCUUACCAAGGCUUUGACGGGUAGCCGGCCUGAGAGGGUGACCGGCCACAUUGGGAAUGAGAUACGGCCGAGACUCCUACGGGAGGAAGGAGGGGGGAAUAUGGCACAAGGGGCGGAAGCUGUAUGCAGAAACGCCGGGUGGGGGAGGACGGCUUUCGGUUGGGACCCCGUUUUCGCCUGGGACGAAGGGGGAGUGACGGUAAUGGGUAAAGAGGCACCGGCUAACUACGUG